AUUGAACGCUGGCGGCAGGCUUAACACAUGCAAGUCGUGCAGGGUGAUGGUGCUUGCACUAUCACUUAGCGGCGGACGGGUGAGUAAUGCUUAGGAAUCUGCCUAUUAGUGGGGGACAACACCUCGAAAGGGAUGCUAAUACCGCAUACGUCCUACGGGAGAAAGCAGGGGAUCACUUGUGACCUUGCGCUAAUAGAUGAGCCUAAGUCGGAUUAGCUAGUUGGUGGGGUAAAGGCCUACCAAGGCGACGAUCUGUAGCGGGUCUGAGAGGAUGAUCCGCCACACUGGGACUGAGACACGGCCCAGACUCCUACGGGAGGCAGCAGUGGGGAAUAUUGGACAAUGGGGGGAACCCUGAUCCAGCCAUGCCGCGUGUGUGAAGAAGGCCUUAUGGUUGUAAAGCACUUUAAGCGAGGAGGAGGCUCUUUUGGUUAAUACCCAAGAUGAGUGGACGUUACUCGCAGAAUAAGCACCGGCUAACUCUGUGCCAGCCGCCGCGGUAA
rnacentral:rRNA from 1 species